UUAGAUUUAUAACCGAUUUCAUAAAUCGUGUUAUUUAAAUCGAAUUGCUAGAAUUAUAACUCGAGUUUAUGUUAAUAAUAAUUUUAUUAUUUCACGCUUUAUAUGUUUAGUACUAAGUCGCGAAUUAAUUUCGACUUUCACGUAUUAAAUCUCAAGAUUGAGGAUUUAAUUUAUAUAAAUACGACGAGUAUUUAUUAAACGAGAAUUGGAGAAUUAUUACAGGAACUAGGAGAAACUAGAUCACGGCACUACACGUAUGUCUCGAUUUUUCAUCCAACACAUCAAUUCCUACACUAUUCCCUUGUUAGUCAAAAUGUUGGUGCUAACAAUUUGUCAAAAAAAAGUUGGUGGUUUGCAGAAAAUUUUGGCUGCUUUGGACUUUCACGUAUUCCAGUUUUGCUACAUGAUUUUUUCAACCUUUGCUACAGUAACACUAUUCCAGUUUUGCCUAUAAAUUGCUAGGAUUCGCAGCAGUUUAAAAACACACCAAAGCAGAAAAUACUUCUUUCUGUUAGAGAGAGCAAGAGUAAGUUGAAGUAAAAUCUCAAAUACGAGAGUUUGAGGGUUUGAGACAAAAGCUUAGUUAGAAGCUUUUGGUGUGAGAAAAUUAGAUAGAAAUUUUCUCGGGGUAUAACGGGUUGUGAGUUGAGUGUUGUGAGUGUUGUAAACACUGUAUUUUUUUUCUCCCUUUGUUAAAUAGAAGUGCAGCAAGAGGUGUGAGGCAAGAGAGAGUUUAGAAGAAUUUUUUUUAAAUUUCUUACUUGCAAGAGCUCAAGUGAGCUCCCUUCGCCGGGCUGUUUCUUCGCCGACCGGCCACUAGGCUCUGAACCGAGAACGUGUACUCGUUCCUCCAUCUUCAGGCUACCAAACCCAACAAUCGAAAUGCCGAAGCCUUCUCUAUAUUUUCCUGACCAAAGGCCGCAAUAUCCUUCGGCGGCCAACGUCGAAUUCCCGACUUAGCCACCGGCCAACUUACGGCCUUCGUUUCUCACUAUCCUUAUGACGAAAAAGGAUCGAGAAACCACCGUUGUGUAGCCUGAUCUACCUCGCACGAGGAAAACUAAGUAGUAGACCUUCGCGGCUAAACACCAUCGCGGAACGACGACCGGAAAACCCCCGACGGACAACUUCCAUUAGUGCUCACUUGGACAAGGGUUCAAAUAAACAAAAGCGUCUGAGUAACCUAUCGCGCUAAGGAAAGAGAAUCAUUGUCUUAAGUAGCAAAACACUGCAAUCAGGUUGAGCUGAUGUGAUGAUGGUGCUGCAAUGAGCGGAGUCUCCAGGGUUGUUAAUAAAUAGUUAACCUGUCUAGAAUAUGUCUUCAUACAUAUGUCUAGCUACUUUCCGCUGCAAGAUGUUGUUGAUGUUAUAGUAUGUUAUGUCAUACUUUGAGUCUUAAGAGAAUGGUUUCAUAUGAUGUAUAACUUGAUUAAUGAUAUUAAUUAAGUUUUAUGCUGUCUUUCAUAGACUAUUUUUCAAUUGAGUAUUCAUGAAUAAAAAUGACGAGUUUUAUUAAGAUGAGUAAGUUUUACGGCUAUAAAUGACGCCCCUUUUCUUCCCCUUCUUCUUUAACCCCAUCCCUAGUCGUAGAUCACUCGGCUU